rnacentral:rRNA from 1 species
UACGGGGGGGGUAAGCGUUGUUCGGAUUUACUGGGCGUAAAGGGCGCGCAGGCGGCGCAUUUUGUCAGGCGUGAAAGCCCCGGGCUUAACCUGGGAACUGCGUUUGAUACGGAUGGGCUAGAGUUCGGGAGAGGAGAGUGGAAUUCCCAGUGUAGAGGUGAAAUUCGUAGAUAUUGGGAAGAACACCGGUGGCGAAGGCGGCUCUCUGGACCGAGACUGACGCUGAGGCGCGAAAGCGUGGGGAGCAAACAGG